GACGAACGCUGGCGGCGUGCUUAACACAUGCAAGUCGAACGGAAAGGCCCUGCUUUUGUGGGGUGCGCGAGUGGCGAACGGGGGAGUAACACGUGAGUAACCUGCCCUUGACUGUGGGAUAACUUCAGGAAACUGGGGCUAAUACCGGAUAGGAGCUCCUGCUGCAGGGUGGGGGUUGGAAAGUUUCGGCGGUUGGGGUUGGACUCGCGGCUUAUCAGCUUGUUGGUGGGGUAGUGGCUUACCAAGGCCUUGACGGGUAGCCGGCCUGAGAGGGUGACCGGCCACAUUGGGACUGAGAUACGGCCCAGACUCGUACGGGAGGCAGCAGUGGGGAAUAUUGCACAAUGGGCGGAAGCCUGAUGCAGCACCGCCGCGUGCGGGAUGACGGCCUUCGGGUUGUAAACCGCUUUCGCCUGUGACGAAGCGUGAGUGACGGUAAUGGGUAAAGAAGCACCGGCUAACUACGUG
rnacentral:rRNA from 1 species